GUUGGAGGAAGGAGAGGAUGACGUCAAGUCAUCAUGGCCUUUAUGCCUAGGGCCACACACGUGCAACAAUGGCCGGUACAGACGGAGGCAAUGCCGAGAGGCGGAGCAAACCCGAGAAAACCGGUCCCAGUUCGGAUUGAGGUUCUGCAACUCGACCUCAUGAAGUCGGAAUCGCUAGUAAUCGCAUAUCAGAACGAUGCGGUGAAUACGUUCCCGGGCCUUGUACACACCGCCCGUCACACCACGAAAGUUUGUUGUACCCGAAGUCGGUGCCUUAACCUCGCAAGUAGGAGAGAGCCGC
rnacentral:rRNA from 1 species